rnacentral:rRNA from 1 species
CAAAAAUCGAUUAACUCGAAUAAAAUUCUAGAUAGAAUUAUGAUAAUGACAUUGUCUAUCUACGUGUCUUGACCAUUCUACGUGCCAGCAGUCGCGGUAAUACGUGGGAGGCUAGUGUUAUUCAUCUUGAAUGGGUUUAAAGCGUUCCUAGACGGUUAAUUAAGGCUUUUAUACUGGAAGGUUAUUAGUAAACUAAUUAAACUAGAGUUACAUGUAAGGGUGAAUUAAAGUACUACUGGGUGUAGAGAUGAAAUUCAUUGAUACGAGUGUGUUGCACGGCACAGGUAAUGGCGAAAGCAUCAUCUUAUGUAAUAACUGACGUUGAAGGACGAAGGCUCUCUAAUAACAAAAAGGAUUAGGUACCCAAGUGAGUUUGGAGCAGAAAAUUAUGAAUGUCAUAGAUUAGAUGUAAAUUUGGUCUAUAAAUGAAAGUGUAAGCAUUCCACCUCAAGAGUAAUUUGGCAACAUUGGAACUGAAAUCAUUAGUCCGUUUCUGAUACAAGUAGUGAAGUAUGUUGUUUAAUUUGAUAAUCCGCAAAAAACCUUACCACAACUUGAAUAUAAAAUUUAUAUUUUUUACAAGUGUUGCACGGCUGUUUUAAGUUAAUAUCGUGAGAUUUUGGUACUUCCAACAAUUAACGUAAACCCUUACUUUAUUUUAUUUUAGACAUUUACAUAUAGUUAGUACCACUCGAUUAAUAGGGUGGGUAAUAGGGACUAAGACAAGUCAUCAUGACCUUAAUAUUGUGGC